rnacentral:rRNA from 1 species
GCAUAUCAAUAAGCGGAGGAAAAGAAACCAACAGGGAUUGCCCUAGUAACGGCGAGUGAAGCGGCAACAGCUCAAAUUUGAAAUCUGGCUCUUUUAGAGUCCGAGUUGUAAUUUGCAGAGGGCGCUUUGGCGUUGGCAGCGGUCCAAGUUCUUUGGAACAGGACGUCACAGAGGGUGAGAAUCCCGUACGUGGUCGCUAGCCUUCGCCGUGUAAAGCCCCUUCGACGAGUCGAGUUGUUUGGGAAUGCAGCUCUAAAUGGGAGGUAAAUUUCUUCUAAAGCUAAAUACUGGCCAGAGACCGAUAGCGCACAAGUAGAGUGAUCGAAAGAUGAAAAGCACUUUGGAAAGAGAGUCAAAUAGCACGUGAAAUUGUUGAAAGGGAAGCGCUUGCAGCCAGACUUGCCUGUAGUUGCUUAUCCGGACUUUUGUCCGGUGCACUCUUCUGCGGGCAGGCCAGCAUCAGUUUAGGCGGUUGGAUAAAGGUCUCUAUCACGUACCUCCCUUCGGGGUUGGCCUUAUAGGGGAGACGACAUGCAACCAGCCUGAACUGAGGUCCGCGCAUCUGCUAGGAUGCUGGCGUAAUGGCUGUAAGCGGCCCGUCUUGAAACACGGACCAAGGAGUCUAACAUCUAUGCGAGUGUUUGGGUGUCAAGCCCAGACGCGUAAUGAAAGUGAACGGAGGUGGGAACCUUUUAGGUGCACCAUCGACCGAUCCUGAUGUCUUCGGAUGGAUUUGAGUAAGAGCAUGGCUGUUGGGACCCGAAAGAUGGUGAACUAUGCUUGAAUAGGGUGAAGCCAGAGGAAACUCUGGUGGAGGCUCGCAGCGGUUCUGACGUGCAAAUCGAUCGUCAAAUUUGGGCAUAGGGGCGAAAGACUAAUCGAACUAUCUAGUAGCUGGUUCCUGCCG